rnacentral:rRNA from 1 species
GAUGAACGCUGGCGGCGUGCCUAACACAUGCAAGUCGAACGAAUCAGAUAUUCAACACUGAGUAUUUAGACGAAGGAAAAAAGUUAGCCAGCGUCAAGGACGAACGAUAGAGAGUCCUUUACGCGUUCAAAAAGUGUGCUAACACAUGAUAGUCUGAAUGUUGAGUGUUGAAUAUCUGAUUAGUGGCGGACGGGUGAGUAACGCGUGGGAAACCUGCCCUAUACAGGGGGAUAGCCUCGGGAAACUGGGAUUAAUACCCCAUAAAACUCUAGUAUCGCAUGAUACAUGAGCCAAAGAUUUAUCGGUAUAGGAUGGUCCCGCGUCUGAUUAGCUAGUUGGUGAGGUAACGGCUCACCGAGGCGACGAUCAGUAGCCGGCCUGAGAGGGUGAACGGCCACACUGGAACUGAGACACGGUCCAGACUCCUACGGGAGGCAGCAGUGGGGAAUAUUGCACAAGUGGGGGAAACCCUGAUGCAGCGACGCCG